GAAGAUUUUGGACUUUGUACAGAAGAGUUCUAUAGUAAAUGAAUCUUGUGACACGUGAGACCAUGAAGCUCUUAAGCUCUUUGGAAACCGGUUUCAUCAAUCGUCACAAGGAGCUCGCAGGGUGACAGRAUCAUUCAGGGAAAAUGGACUUGGACUCAUCAACAACAGCAGAAAAUGCUGGUUGGUARAUGGAAAAUACCUGCCCUGCAGAGGUCUUUUCCUGUUUAGUAAUCUUGUAUUUCGUUGGCAACCUCUACCCACUCGAAAUAACGCACUUUACUACUAAGCGAGAGAAUAUUCAAAUUAUAAUUUCAAYGUGUCUUGAGCCACUUGCGUUUUCCUAUCUAAAGACGACCACCAAAAAACCAUAUCAAUAAAAACACCGAAAUUGCAUCGUA